AUUGAACGCUGGCGGCAGGCCUAACGCAUGCAAGUCGAGCGGCAGCGGGAAAGUAGCUUGCUACUUUUGCCGGCGAGCGGCGGACGGGUGAGUAAUACAUCGGAACAUGUCCUGUAGUGGGGGAUAGCCCGGCGAAAGCCGGAUUAUUACCGCAUACGAUCUACGGAUGAAAGCGGGGGACCUUCGGGCCUCGCGCUAUAGGGUUGGCCGAUGGCUGAUUAGCUAGUUGGUGGGGUAAAGGCCUACCAAGGCGACGAUCAGUAGCUGGUCUGAGAGGACGACCAGCCACACUGGGACUGAGACACGGCCCAGACUCCUACGGGAGGCAGCAGUGGGGAAUUUUGGACAAUGGGCGAAAGCCUGAUCCAGCAAUGCCGCGUGUGUGAAGAAGGCCUUCGGGUUGUAAAGCACUUUUGUCCGGAAAGAAAUCCUUGGCUCUAAUACAGUCGGGGGAUGACGGUACCGGAAGAAUAAGCACCGGCUAACUACGUGCCAGCCGCCGCAGUAAAAC
rnacentral:rRNA from 1 species